UACGGAGGGUGCAAGCGUUGUCCGGAAUUAUUGGGCGUAAAGCGCUCGUAGGCGGUUCUGCGCGUCGGCUGUGAAAUCCCGAGGCUCAACCUCGGGACUGCAGUCGAUACGGGCGGUCUGGAGUUCGGCAGGGGAGACUGGAAUUCCUGGUGUAGCGGUGAAAUGCGCAGAUAUUAGGAGGAACACCGGUGGCGAAGGCGGGUCUCUGGGCCGAUACUGACGCUGAGGAGCGAAAGCGUGGGGAGCAAACAGG
rnacentral:rRNA from 1 species